rnacentral:rRNA from 1 species
GAUGAACGCUGGCUGUGUGCCUAAUACAUGCAUGUCGAGCGGAAGUAGCAAUACUUUAGCGGCGAAUGGGUGAGUAACACGUGCUUAAUCUACCUCUUAGAUUGGAAUACCUAAUGGAAACAUUGGUUAAUGCCGGAUACGCAUGGAGUCGCAUGACUCCGUUGUGAAAGGGGCCUUUAAAGCUCCACUAAGAGAUGAGGGUGCGGAACAUUAGCUAGUUGGUGAGGUAACGGCCCACCAAGGCUAUGAUGUUUAGCCGGGUCGAGAGACUGAACGGCCACAUUGGGACUGAGAUACGGCCCAAACUCCUACGGGAGGCAGCAGUAGGGAAUAUUCCGCAAUGAGCGAAAGCUUGAUGGAGCGACACAGCGUGCACGAUGAAGGUCUUAUGGAUUGUAAAGUGCUGUUGCAAGGGAAGAAAAAGUAGUUGAGGAAAUGCUUCUACAUUGACGGUACCUUGUUAGAAAGCGAUGGCUAACUAUGUGCCAGCAGCCGCGGUAAUACAUAGGUCGCAAGCGUUAUCCGGAAUUAUUGGGCGUAAAGCGUUCGUAGGCUGUUUAUUAAGUCUGGAGUCAAAUCCCAGGGCUCAACCCUGGCUCGCUUUGGAUACUGGUAAACUAGAGUUGGAUAGAGGUAAGCGGAAUUCCAUGUGAAGCGGUGAAAUGCGUAGAUAUAUGGAAGAACACCAAAGGCGAAGGCAGCUUACUGGGUUUAUACUGACGCUGAGGAACGAGAGCGUGGGGAGCAAACAGG